rnacentral:tRNA from 1 species
GGGAAUUUGGCUUAAUGGUAAAGUGCUUGCCUAGCAUGCAUGAAGCCCUGGGUUCGAUUCCUCAAUACCA